AAUCUGUGCCUGAAACCUAGCUGUCGUAAUUCUUACACAUGCCUUGAAAUUCCUGUGACAGAAUAUGAAGGCUUCAGUAGCUGAACAAAAAGGCAGGUGACAGAGUGCUCGUGCAAUGUCCAUUUCCCCUUGCUGGCACCUGGCCUGCUCAGUACAAUUGGGAAAGACAAAUGAAUCUGUAAUCACAAACUGGGUGAAAGGCUUAAGGAUUUUGGCCUAGCCCGUUGUCUAGGAAGGCUGGAAAGAUCAGCUGCUAACAUUUCACCACCAACUGUGAAAAGGCAAGGAAGUGGCUGCCGGGGCUGGAGCCUGUGGGAAUCCCUGCUCUCGAGCAUCAGCUACUCUCUCCCACCUACAACAAAAUAACAG
rnacentral:lncRNA from 1 species